GCGGGUAUGGCGGAAUAGGCAGACGCGCUACCUUGAGGGGGUAGUGGGAGUAACUCCCGUGCAGGUUCAAGUCCUGUUACCCGCA
rnacentral:tRNA from 7 species